AGGAGCAGGGGGACUUCCCCACUGCCCCCAGCUCCUGCUGGGCCCGGGCGUCGCAGGCGCGACUCGGACUCCAGCUCCUCCUCACCUAGCUGUAAGAGGCGGCGGCGUGGCCACCACAGUGACUGAAGCCUGACCUGCUGACAGUUUCCAGCCUCCAGCAGACCCCCUCCCUGCCCCCCCUGCAGGGGCCCUGGCCCCAGAGACAGCCCCUGGCGGGAGGGCAGGGGGCAUAGCCUUGGGAGCCCCCGUGCGGCUUUGGGGUGGCCAAGUACAGCUACUUCUAUUUUUCUUUAAUUCACUCUUUGUACUUAAAUAAAGUUAUUUUAAGGGGAAAGUAUUUCACACUCAAGGGUAGGUUGUCACAUGUUCCAGUAGAAAGGGGCAGGGGAGAACAUGACGACGGUGUCGGGUUCCAGUAAGACCAGCCAGAGACCCUGGUGGGCCUGUCCCUGGGCAGUGAUGUCAGAUGUACCAGGAGACCUGGGUCACAUCUCACCCUGGGCGACAGGCUGGACAUGUAGAUCAUGAGGGUGAAGACUUGUACCUGGAGUCUCCCCCACCCCCCUCCAGGUGCCAAGGGACCUGCCCCCUGGACUCCAAGCUUGGAGAGGGGGGCAAAGUGGGGCACUAGCUCCCUCCCCCAGGCCUCCCCUCCUCUGCAGGGAGGGGACCUCUUACAACCCAGAAGAGUGAGCACAGGACCCAGGCUGGAUCCCUAAUAAGGAAAUAUGCAUCUUUUGCUUCGGAUUUGAAAAUUAAUCAAACUAAAGACAAUUAUGUCUGUCUAACCCUGGCCCUGGCUUUUCAACCUGUUAGUGGAGGGAAGGGCCAGACUGGGCAUCCCCAGGGCAAGGGAGCCUGGACUCCAGCCAGUCCAUAGUCACAGCCGGCUGGGGAGUCAGGGCACUCAGGAUUCAAGGAUGGCCUACAUGGCAGCAACACAGAGCUUGGCCAAGGUUUCCUGCCCUCCAUCCCCUCAACAGGCCAGGUGAUAUGGGCUAGAGCAGCCCCCCCCCCCCCAGUCCCCAUGCAGUGACCCUGCUGUCCCUAUCAUGGCCUGGCACUGCCAGCAGGGAGGCCAAUGAGGCAGUCACUGCCAGGGCACUGGGCCACGUCCACACCUGCCACGAAGCCAGUGGUCUGGGUGCCCUGCUCCUGUUCCCAGAGAUGAGCUGUGGCUAGUGGCACCAAGCAUUGGAGAGCCGUGAACUAGUUAAGAGACUUUAUUCUAGUAGCUAUAAUUACAGUGCUUGUUUGUCGAAAUGAAAACUGAAAACAAGUAUACAAAACAGUUGAUUACUAAUUGUGUAUUGAAAGCAGUAAGAGGUUCCACGACACCAAAUAAACCAGUUCUGAGGAUUUCCCCAAGAUAAAGUUGAACGGCUCCAGCUUCUUCAGUGUUUAUCAAAAUACGAAAGAAAAAA